CCAUCCUCCAAGGCUAAAUACUCCUGACUGACCGAUAGUGAACCAGUACCGUGAGGGAAAGGCGAAAAGAACCCCGGCGAGGGGAGUGAAAAAGAACCUGAAACCGUGUACGUACAAGCAGUGGGAGCACGCUUAGGCGUGUGACUGCGUACCUUUUGUAUAAUGGGUCAGCGACUUAUAUUCUGUAGCAAGGUUAACCGAAUAGGGGAGCCGAAGGGAAACCGAGUCUUAACUGGGCGUUAAGUUGCAGGGUAUAGACCCGAAACCCGGUGAUCUAGCCAUGGGCAGGUUGAAGGUUGGGUAACACUAACUGGAGGACCGAACCGACUAAUGUUGAAAAAUUAGCGGAUGACUUGUGGCUGGGGGUGAAAGGCCAAUCAAACCGGGAGAUAGCUGGUUCUCCCCGAAAGCUAUUUAGGUAGCGCCUCGUGAAUUCAUCUCCGGGGGUAGAGCACUGUUUCGGCAAGGGGGUCAUCCCGACUUACCNNNNNNNNNNNNNNNNNNNNNNNNNNNNNNNNNNNNNNNNNNNGCUUAUGCGUUGUUGGGUAGGGGAGCGUUCUGUAAGCCUGCGAAGGUGUGCUGUGAGGCAUGCUGGAGGUAUCAGAAGUGCGAAUGCUGACAUAAGUAACGAUAAAGCGGGUGAAAAGCCCGCUCGCCGGAAGACCAAGGGUUCCUGUCCAACGUUAAUCGGGGCAGGGUGAGUCGACCCCUAAGGCGAGGCCGAAAGGCGUAGUCGAUGGGAAACAGGUUAAUAUUCCUGUACUUGGUGUUACUGCGAAGGGGGGACGGAGAAGGCUAUGUUGGCCGGGCGACGGUUGUCCCGGUUUAAGCGUGUAGGCUGGUUUUCCAGGCAAAUCCGGAAAAUCAAGGCUGAGGCGUGAUGACGAGGCACUACGGUGCUGAAGCAACAAAUGCCCUGCUUCCAGGAAAAGCCUCUAAGCAUCAGGUAACAUCAAAUCGUACCCCAAACCGACACAGGUGGUCAGGUAGAGAAUACCAAGGCGCUUGAGAGAACUCGGGUGAAGGAACUAGGCAAAAUGGUGCCGUAACUUCGGGAGAAGGCACGCUGAUAUGUAGGUGAAGUCCCUUGCGGAUGGAGCUGAAAUCAGUCGAAGAUACCAGCUGGCUGCAACUGUUUAUUAAAAACACAGCACUGUGCAAACACGAAAGUGGACGUAUACGGUGUGACGCCUGCCCGGUGCCGGAAGGUUAAUUGAUGGGGUCAGCGCAAGCGAAGCUCUUGAUCGAAGCCCCGGUAAACGGCGGCCGUAACUAUAACGGUCCUAAGGUAGCGAAAUUCCUUGUCGGGUAAGUUCCGACCUGCACGAAUGGCGUAAUGAUGGCCAGGCUGUCUCCACCCGAGACUCAGUGAAAUUGAACUCGCUGUGAAGAUGCAGUGUACCCGCGGCAAGACGGAAAGACCCCGUGAACCUUUACUAUAGCUUGACACUGAACAUUGAGCCUUGAUGUGUAGGAUAGGUGGGAGGCUUUGAAGUGUGGACGCCAGUCUGCAUGGAGCCGGCCUUGAAAUACCACCCUUUAAUGUUUGAUGUUCUAACGUGGACCCGUGAUCCGGGUUGCGGACAGUGUCUGGUGGGUAGUUUGACUGGGGCGGUCUCCUCCUAAAGAGUAACGGAGGAGCACGAAGGUUGGCUAAUCCUGGUCGGACAUCAGGAGGUUAGUGCAAUGGCAUAAGCCAGCUUGACUGCGAGCGUGACGGCGCGAGCAGGUGCGAAAGCAGGUCAUAGUGAUCCGGUGGUUCUGAAUGGAAGGGCCAUCGCUCAACGGAUAAAAGGUACUCCGGGGAUAACAGGCUGAUACCGCCCAAGAGUUCAUAUCGACGGCGGUGUUUGGCACCUCGAUGUCGGCUCAUCACAUCCUGGGGCUGAAGUAGGUCCCAAGGGUAUGGCUGUUCGCCAUUUAAAGUGGUACGCGAGCUGGGUUUAGAACGUCGUGAGACAGUUCGGUCCCUAUCUGCCGUGGGCGCUGGAGAACUGAGGGGGGCUGCUCCUAGUACGAGAGGACCGGAGUGGACGCAUCACUGGUGUUCGGGUUGUCAUGCCAAUGGCACUGCCCGGUAGCUAAAUGCGGAAGAGAUAAGUGCUGAAAGCAUCUAAGCACGAAACUUGCCCCGAGAUGAGUUCUCCCUGACCCUUUAAGGGUCCUGAAGGAACGUUGAAGACGACGACGUUGAUAGGCCGGGUGUGUAAGCGCAGCGAUGCGUUGAGCUAACCGGUACUAAUGAACCGUGAGGCUUAACCUUACAACGCCGAAG
rnacentral:rRNA from 1 species